rnacentral:rRNA from 2 species
GAUGAGCGCUGGCGGUAUGCCUAACACAUGCAAGUCGUACGCCUCACUUCGGUGAGGAGUGGCGGACGGGUGAGUAACACGUUAGUACCUGCCCCAAAGUGGGGAAUAACUGCCCGAAAGGGUAGCUAAUACCCCAUAGUCUCCGGUUUAUCCGGAGUAAAGAUUUAUCGCUUUGGGAGGGGCUUGCGUUUGAUUAGCUAGUUGGUGAGGGUAAUGGCCCACCAAGGCGACGAUCAAUAGCUGGAUCGAGAGGUUGACCAGCCACACUGGGACUGAGAUACGGCCCAGACUCCUACGGGAGGCAGCAGUGAGGAAUCUUCCACAAUGGGCGAAAGCCUGAUGGAGCAAUACCGCGUGCAGGAUGAAGCUUUUCGGAGUGUAAACUGCUUUUCUGAAGGAAGAUUAUGACGGUACUUCAGGAAUAAGGAUCGGCUAACUACGUG